CAGCACGCACCAUGUAUCAACCGAGUCCGCUGAUUAUCACCACUAUGCUGUCAAUAGCGACGGGAGCUGUUUUUCCAGUGGGAAUGAUCAUAUGCAACAUGAAAGAAGAGACACGGCUUUAGAUGAUGCUUUGUUUAGUUUCUUCAGGAAACAGGCUGUAAAAUCUUUGAAAAUGAAUUUCUCUGAUUUUUGCAAGGAUUUUCCACCAAUGGACAAG